CCAGACUCCUACGGGAGGCAGCAGUGGGGAAUAUUGCACAAUGGGCGAAAGCCUGAUGCAGCAACGCCGCGUGAAGGAAGAAGGGUUUCGGCUCGUAAACUUCUAUCAACAGGGACGAAAGAAAUGACGGUACCUGACUAAGAAGCCCCGGCUAACUACGUGCCAGCAGCCGCGGUAAUACGUAGGGGGCAAGCGUUAUCCGGAUUUACUGGGUGUAAAGGGAGCGUAGGCGGUUAGAUAAGUCUGAUGUGAAAGCCCACAGCUUAACUGUGGGAUUGCAUUGGAAACUAUAGAACUAGAGUGUCGGAGAGGUAAGUGGAAUUCCUAGUGUAGCGGUGAAAUGCGUAGAUAUUAGGAGGAACACCAGUGGCGAAGGCGGCUUACUGGACGAUGACUGACGCUGAGGCUCGAAAGCGUGGGGAGCAAACAGGAUUAGAUACCCUCGUAA
rnacentral:rRNA from 1 species